rnacentral:rRNA from 1 species
UACGAAGGGUGCAAGCGUUACUCGGAAUUACUGGGCGUAAAGCGUGCGUAGGUGGUGAGUUAAGUCUGUCGUGAAAGCCCCGGGCUCAACCUGGGAAUGGCGAUGGAUACUGGCUCGCUAGAGUGAUGUAGGGGGAGACUAGAAUUCCGUGGUGUAGCGGUAGAAAUGCGCAGAUAUCAGGAGGAACACCGAUGGCGAAGGCAGGUCUCUGGGCGAUUAACUGACGCUGAGGAGCGAAAGCCAUGGGGAGCGAACAGG